AGUACUGACGCUGAGAUGCGAAAGCGUGGGGAGCAAACAGGAUUAGAUACCCUGGUAGUCCACGCUGUAAACGAUGUCGAUUUGGAGUUUGUUGCCUAGAGUGAUGGGCUCCGAAGCUAACGCGAUAAAUCGACCGCCUGGGGAGUACGGCCGCAAGGUUAAAACUCAAAUGAAUUGACGGGGGCCCGCACAAGCGGUGGAGCAUGUGGUUUAAUUCGAUGCAACGCGAAGAACCUUACCUGGUCUUGACAUCCAUAGAAUUCUGCAGAGAUGUGGGAGUGCCUUCGGGAACUAUGAGACAGGUGCUGCAUGGCUGUCGUCAGCUCGUGUUGUGAAAUGUUGGGUUAAGUCCCGCAACGAGCGCAACCCUUAUUCUUUGUUGCCAGCGAUUUGGUCGGGAACUCAAAGGAGACUGCCGUUGAUAAAGCGGAGGAAGGUGGGGACGACGUCAAGUCAUCAUGGCCCUUACGACCAGGGCUACACACGUGCUACAAUGGCGUAUACAAAGGGAAGCGAAGGUGCGAGCUGGAGCGGAUCUCAUAAAGUACGUCUAAGUUCGGAUUGGAGUCUGCAACUCGACUCCAUGAAGUCGGAAUCGCUAGUAAUCGUAGAUCAGAAUGCUACGGUGAAUACGUUCCCGGGCCUUGUACACACCGCCCGUCACACCAUGGGAGUGGGUUGCACCAGAAGUAGAUAGCUUAACCGCGAGGGGGGCGUUUACCACGGUGUGAUUCAUGACUGGGGUGAAGUCGUAACAAGGUAACCA
rnacentral:rRNA from 1 species